AGCAGCCGCGGUAAUUCCAGCUCCAAUAGCGUAUAUUAAAGUUGUUGCAGUUAAAAGCUCGUAGUUGAAUUUCGGGGUUAGUAGGUUGGUCAUGCCUCUGGUAUGUACUGGUCUCACCGAUUCCUCCUUCCUGAUGAACCUUAAUGCCAUUAAUUUGGUGUUUUGGGGAAUUUGGACUGUUACUUUGAAAAAUUAGAGUGUUUAAAGCAAGCUAACGCUUGAAUACAUUAGCAUGGAAUAAUGAAAUAGGACGUUCGAUCCUAUUUUGUUGGUUUCUAGGAUUGACGUAAUGAUUAAUAGGGAUAGUUGGGGGCAUUAGUAUUCAAUUGUCAGAGGUGAAAUUCUUGGAUUUAUUGAAGACUAACUACUGCGAAAGCAUUUGCCAAGGAUGUUUUCAUUAAUCAAGAACGAAAGUUAGGGGAUCGAAGACGAUCAGAUACCGUCGUAGUCUUAACCAUAAACUAUGCCGACUAGGGAUCGGAUGAUGUUAAUUUUUUAAUGACUCAUUCGGCGCCUUACG
rnacentral:misc_RNA from 1 species